AGUUGAUCCUGGCUCAGAACGAACGUUAGCGGCGCGUUUAUGCAUGCAAGUCGAGCGGUGCGGGGCUCGGUCCCGCAUAGCGGCGGACUGGUGAGUAACACGUGGAUAAUCUGCCUUGCAGUCGGGAAUAUCCCAUGGAAACAUGGUGCAAUACCGGAUACGAACGUCGGCGCACAAGCGCUGGCGAGGAAAGGGGCCAAGGCCCUGCUGCGAGAUGAGUCCGCGUCCCAUUAGCUAGAUGGCGGGGUAAAGGCCCACCAUGGCUGUGAUGGGUAGCCGGCCUGAGAGGGUGAACGGCCACAUUGGGACUGAGAUACGGCCCAGACUUCUACGGGAGGCAGCAGCAAAGAAUCUUCCGCAAUGGACGAAAGUCUGACGGAGCGACGCCGCGUUGAGCGAUGAAGGCCGCAAGGUUGUAAAGCUCUUUUCGGGGGGAAGAAUAAUGCCGGCAGGGAAUGGCCGGCGGAUGACAUCAACCCCGGAAUAAGGUCCGGCUAACUACGUGCCAGCCGCUGC
rnacentral:rRNA from 1 species